ACGUUAAGCGCCACUGAAUAUCAAUUUAGUCCCUAAUGUUAUCAACCUAGUGUCAAUUUAGUCCCAGCGAGUUGAAAAGUCAACUUCUCUCUAUCUCACCUUUUCUUUCUCUCUUUGACUCUCUCCCCCACCCAUCUCUUCCACCACCACCACAACCACCCUUCUCCCCUCCUCUCCCCCAUGUCCCUUCUCCAACCCCUUUCUCUCUCACCCACCAACACCUCCACCACCCUUUUCCUCCCUCCAACCUCCCUCCCCCGACACCACCACCCCCAGCACCCUUCGGUAAAGGCUACCUUAUUUGUUCUUUUUUGGUUGGUGCUGGAGAUUAGUGAAGGGGGAAUAAUAAUUGUUCAUCAAACAUGAAUAUGUGUUGAACUUUCCAUAAUGAGGGAAGAUCACUCGGGCUGGGCGGCUUCCCUUUGGCCCUGGCUUUAAUAAGGACAUUACUAUGUCUUAAGCCGGUGGAGACCAGUGCUUGGCCAUACCUUCGUGGUUUGUGUCUAUGUGGUUCGAUAGGAAAUAUACCCACUGCAUCUUGGUCUACAUGGCUGUGAAGCAGUACAAAAUUAAGCUUGUCUGGCAUUGUGAGAAUCCAAGCCAGUGUUCUUUUGGCCUAGGGUGGUAUAAUUUUGUGUUAAAGAACAGGCUGUAAGCUGGGGAUAAUGUCACUAUUAUGCCCUCUGUUUUUGAAGAUGUGUUUGUUAUUACGGUUUCUUGUGCUGUGGAUCGAGUUUGAGUGUCCUGUUUAAGAACCAUGUAUCCAGAUCUUGCCAGUAUCCCUAGAAAAUUGUCAUGUUUGCUAUGGUUGUGGUAGUGUUUGAUCUUGAAUAAAAAAAGACUAUGUCUCUUUGCUGGGCUCCCCUCUUUGUUGGAAUGGUUUUGAUUAUUGUUGUCUUAUUUCGUAUUCAUAAUAUUUGUAGUUGCAUAAACAAAAUUAUGGGCUUGUUAAACUAGAA